UGCCCGGUAGCUAAAUGCGGAAGAGAUAAGUGCUGAAAGCAUCUAAGCACGAAACUUGCCCCGAGAUGAGUUCUCCCUGACCCUUUAAGGGUCCUGAAGGAACGUUGAAGACGACGACGUUGAUAGGUCGGGUGUGUAAGCGCAGCGAUGCGUUGAGCUAACCGGUACUAAUGAACCGUGAGGCUUAACCUUACAACGCCGAAG
rnacentral:rRNA from 1 species